rnacentral:rRNA from 1 species
AUUGAACGCUGGCGGCAGGCCUAACACAUGCCAGUCGAACGGUAACAGAAAGAAGCUUGCUUCUUUGCUGACGAGUGGCGGACGGGUGAGUAAUGUCUGGGAAACUGCCUGAUGGAGGGGGAUAACUACUGGAAACGGUAGCUAAUACCGCAUAACGUCGCAAGACCAAAGAGGGGGACCUUCGGGCCUCUUGCCAUCGGAUGUGCCCAGAUGGGAUUAGCUAGUAGGUGGGGUAACGGCUCACCUAGGCGACGAUCCCUAGCUGGUCUGAGAGGAUGACCAGCCACACUGGAACUGAGACACGGUCCAGACUCCUACGGGAGGCAGCAGUGGGGAAUAUUGCACAAUGGGCGCAAGCCUGAUGCAGCCAUGCCGCGUGUAUGAAGAAGGCCUUCGGGUUGUAAAGUACUUUCAGCGGGGAGGAAGGGAGUAAAGUUAAUACCUUUGCUCAUUGACGUUACCCGCAGAAGAAGCACCGGCUAACUCCGUG